rnacentral:rRNA from 1 species
GAAGCGGCAACAGCUCAAAUUUGAAAUCUGGCCUCUUGGGGUCCGAAGUUGUAAUUUGUAGAGGAUGUUUUGGGUACCGCCCCGGUUUAAAUUUCUUGGAACAGAAUGUCAGAGAGGGUGAGAAUCCCGUCUUGGACCGGUGGUAGGGCCUGUGUAAAACUCCUUCGACGAGUCGAGUUGUUUGGGAAUGCAGCUCAAAAUGGGUGGUAAAUUUCAUCUAAAGCUAAAUAUUGGCCAGAGACCGAUAGCGCACAAGUAGAGUGAUCGAAAGAUGAAAAGAACUUUGAAAAGAGAGUUAAACAGUAUGUGAAAUUGUUGAAAGGGAAGCGCUUGCAACCAGACUUGAGCGCGACGGUUCCCCUAGCCUUUUGGCUAGGUUACUCCGUCGUGUCCAGGCCAACAUCGGUUCUGAGGGUCGGUCAAAGGCCCCGGGAAUGUACCUACCCACGGGUAGACUUAUAGACCGGGGUGUCAUGCGGCCUCUCGGGACCGAGGAACGCGCUUCGGCUCGGAUGUUGGCGUAAUGGUUGUCAGCGACC